UGGGAGCGGAAUCAGUGAACUAGGCCUGGCGCGCUCCUGGAUCCCUCGGGCUUUGCCCGCAGCCUCCGGCAGAGACUCGAGAAAUUCACACAGCCAAUAAUGAAACUGAUGCUGAGACUGAAACAGCACAAGCUUUGUUGAAUGGCCGUUCAAUGGCUGAGAAUGGAAGUGGAAACUUAGUUCACAAAUCAACUUCUCCUCGGGGAGGAUCAGGGCAAGAUUUUUAAAGGGGACAUGGGUUCGAGCUCUGGUCCGGGAAGAUCCUACAUGCCGUGGAGCAGCUAAGUCCGUGCGCCACAACUACUGAGCCUGUGCUCUAGAGCCUGCGAGCCACAACUACUGAGCCCGCAUGCCACAACUACUGAAGCCCACGCGCCUGGAGCCCGUGCUCUGCAAUAAGAGAAGCCACCGCAGCGAGAAGCCCGUGCACCACAACGAAGAGUAGCCCCUGCUCGCUGAAAUUAGAGAAAGCCCAUGUGCAGCA